AUUGAACGCUGGCGGCAUGCCUUACACAAGCAAGUCGAACGGUAACAGGUCUUCGGAUGCUGACGAGUGGCGAACGGGUGAGUAAUACAUCGGAACGUGCCCGAUCGUGGGGGAUAACGAAGCGAAAGCUUUGCUAAUACCGCAUACGAUCUACGGAUGAAAGCAGGGGACCGCAAGGCCUUGCGCGAACGGAGCGGCCGAUGGCAGAUUAGGUAGUUGGUGGGAUAAAAGCUUACCAAGCCGACGAUCUGUAGCUGGUCUGAGAGGACGACCAGCCACACUGGGACUGGGACAAGGCCCAGACUCCUACGGGAGGCAGCAGUGGGGAAUUUUGGACAAGGGGCGAAAGCCUGAUCCAGCCAUGCCGCGUGCAGGAUGAAGGCCUUCGGGUUGUAAACUGCUUUUGUACGGAACGAAAAGACUCUGGUUAAUACCUGGGGUCCAUGACGGUACCGUAAGAAUAAGCACCGGCUAACUACGUGCCAGCAGCCGCCGUAAUAC
rnacentral:rRNA from 1 species